AGUGAACGCUGGCGGUAGGCCUAACACAUGCAAGUCGAACGGCAGCACAGUAAGAGCUUGCUCUUACGGGUGGCGAGUGGCGGACGGGUGAGGAAUACAUCGGAAUCUACUUUUUCGUGGGGGAUAACGUAGGGAAACUUACGCUAAUACCGCAUACGACCUACGGGUGAAAGCAGGGGAUCUUCGGACCUUGCGCGAUUGAAUGAGCCGAUGUCGGAUUAGCUAGUUGGCGGGGUAAAGGCCCACCAAGGCGACGAUCCGUAGCUGGUCUGAGAGGAUGACCACCAACCCUGGACCUAGACACCGUCCAGGCUUCCUAGGGAGGGAGCCGUGGGGAAUAUUUGGCAAUGGGGGGAAGCCUGAUCCCGGCCUACCGGGUUGGGUAAAAAGGGCCUCCGGUUGUUAAAGCCUUUUGUUGGGAAAGAAAAGCAGCCAGUUUAUACCCCGGCUUUCUGACCGUAACCAAAGGAUAAGGCCCGGCUAACUUUGUG
rnacentral:rRNA from 1 species